UACGUAGGGUGCGAGCGUUAAUCGGAAUUACUGGGCGUAAAGAGUGCGUAGGCGGUUCGUUAAGUCAGCUGUGAAAGCCCCGGGCUCAACCUGGGAACUGCGGUUGAAACUGGCGAACUAGAAUCUGGCAGAGGGGGUGGAAUUCCACGUGUAGCAGUGAAAUGCGUAGAGAUGUGGAGGAACACCGAUGGCGAAGGCAGCCCCCUGGGCUGAGAUUGAUGCUCAGGCACGAAAGCGUGGGGAGCAAACAGG
rnacentral:rRNA from 1 species